rnacentral:rRNA from 1 species
CAGCCGCCACGGUAAUACGAAGGGUGCAAGCGUUACUUGGAAUUACUGGGCGUAAAGCGUGCGUAGGUGGUGGUUUAAGUCCGUUGUGAAAGCCCUGGGCUCAACCUGGGAAUUGCAGUGGAUACUGGGUCACUAGAGUGUGGUAGAGGAUAGUGGAAUUUCCGGUGUAGCAGUGAAAUGCGUAGAGAUCGGAAGGAACAUCUGUGGCGAAGGCGACUAUCUGGGCCAACACUGACACUGAGGCACGAAAGCGUGGGGAGCAAACAGGAUUAGAUACCCGUGUAGUCCCUGUCUCUUAUAC